rnacentral:rRNA from 1 species
GAUGAACGCUAGCGGCAGGCUUAAUACAUGCAAGUUGAGGGGCAGCAUGAUAUACGCGAGUAUAUUGAUGGCGACCGGCGGACGGGUGAGUAAUAGGUAGGAGACCUACCUCAUACAGGGGGAUAGCAUAGAGAAAUCUGUGGUAAUACCCCAUGAGGUUAUAUGAAUAGAGGCAUAUAAUCAAAGCAUAAGCGAUUAUGCGGUAUGAGAGGGGCCUACUGACCAUUAGCUAGUUGGUGAGGUAAGGGCUCACCAAGGCGAAGAUGGUUAGGGGUUUUGAGAGAGAGACCCCCCACAUUGGAACUGAGAGACGGUCCAGACUCCUACGGGAGGCAGCAGUAGGGAAUAUUGGGCAAUGGGCGAAAGCCUGACCCAGCCAUGCCGCGUGAAGGAGACGGCCUUAUGGGUUGUAAACUUCUUUACUACGCGAAUAGAGGUUAGUACGAGAUACUAAUAGGAAGGUAGUGUAGUAAAAGCAACCGGCUAACUCCGUG